rnacentral:rRNA from 1 species
UACAGAGGCUGCAAGCGUUAUUCGGAUUCACUGGGCGUAAAGGGUGCGCAGGCGGCCAAGUGUGUGAGGCGUGAAAGCCCGAAGCUUAACUUCGGAAUUGCACCUCAAACUACAUGGCUAGAGCAUUGGAGAGGGUAGCAGAAUUCACGGUGUAGCAGUGAAAUGCGUAGAUAUCGUGAGGAAUACCAGAGGCGAAGGCGGCUACCUGGACAAUUGCUGACGCUCAGGCACGAAAGCGUGGGGAGCAAAAGGG